CUGCCCAUUUAAGACUAAUUGUGUUUUAAGUGGCAAACACAGAGGGGUAGACUAUUUCCUAUUUCUCUCAUAAACCUGAAGCAGAGGCUAAAUCCCUGCUUUAGAUCCUGUCGGGAGGUACAUAU